rnacentral:tRNA from 1 species
GAGUACAUAGCUCAGCCGGAAGAGCACCGAGCUUUUAACUCGAUGGCCGUAGGUUCGAAUCCUUCUGUACUCA